UAUUGCUUCGCCCAGCUGAUCCUCGGAUCACAGCGUACAAGCUCACAACAGCUGAUCGUGACGCAAUGACGCACACGGCCCCGCCCAUCACCACGCCCACAACAGCUUCCUGAGCCAAUCACGAUGUUACACAAGAAACUGCUGAUCUCCUGGGAUUUCCCCAAACAGAAUGUGGUGAAAAGCAACAAACACCUAAUCAGUUAUUUCCCUGAAGGAGAUGCUCCCGACCAAUAAAAGGUCACCAUUCAAUGUAACCACGGCAAAUCAUAUGGCGUCAGAUACGGAAGAUGUGCUGAUAUAACUUUCAACCGAUCGAACCCUGAGGACGGCAUUUGACGGAAAGACGCUGGAUGAGUUCUGGGUUUCUUCCGCGCUGGAAUAUCCACAGUUGUCGAAAGCCGUGUUGGAUGUACCCAUGCAAUUUGUCUCAACGUAUUUAUGCGAAAAGACAUUCUCUGCGCUGAUUUACAUUAAGAAUAAACACAAGUCAUGGCUUAACGUGGAAGAUGAUCUGUGGGGGGCGAUCUCCAAAACUGAACUUAGAGUGGACCUGCUUUGCUCCGAGCACAGCGCCCAUCCAUCACAUUAGGCGUUUUUUUCUGAAUACAUUUAAAAUUACAAUACAAUUAUUCAUAACACAACUUUUAAUUGUUCCAAGGCACCAGCCAACGUUAUUGUACUCGUGUUACAGGCAGCUUGUUCGUAGCUAUUCUGUCUGUAAGCAUUUCACAGUUAUGGGAUGUAUUUGUUUUUGUCCAUAAUUUGUUAAUAAAAUAGCCUGGCUUAGAGAUUGUGU